rnacentral:rRNA from 1 species
AUUGAACGCUGGCGGCAGGCCUAACACAUGCAAGUCGAACGAGUGGCGGACGGGUGAGGAAUGUCUGGGGAAAUGCCUGAUGGAGGGGGAUAACUCCUGGAAACGGUAGCUAUUACCGCAUACCAUCAGAUGUGCCCAGAUGGGAUUAGCUAGUAGGUGAGGUAACGGCGCACCUAGGCGACGAUCCCUAGCUGGUCUGAGAGGAUGACCAGCCACACUGGAACUGAGACACGGUCCAGACUCCUACGGGAGGGAGCAGUGGGGAAUAUUGCACAAUGGGCGCAAGCCUUAUGCAGCCAUGCCGCGUGUAUGAAGAAGGCCUUCGGGUUGUAAAGUACUUUCAGCGGGGAGGCGUUACCCGCAGAAGAAGCACCGGCUAACUCCGUGCCAGCAGCCGCGGUAAUAC